UACUUUGCAUGUUUGUCAAGACUGUCCUUAUGUAGCAUAAGUUUGGCAACAGAUAGAUAUUAGUUGGAAUCUGUAUCAAACAGGGGAGUCAUUCCUUCAAUGGCUUCAACACUUGUUUUUAGGGAACAGUCAGCAACAAUCUUUGAUUACUGUCAUCAUCUGGGCUUUAUGGCUAUCAAGAAACAAGUUGAUGCAUGAAGGCAAAAGACAACCAGUCAGUGAUUUUUGCACUUUUGUAUUGGGAUAUAUCAGAGAACUGGAAUUGCUGGAGAAUUCUUACCCAAGGACUCCAUAAAAUUAGGCAGUGCGAUGGCAACCUCCGGAGGAUCAGUGGGUUAGAGUUAACUUUGAUAGGGACUUUUACAGUGACCUGGAAGCAUCUAGUACGAGAAUAAUCAUUAGGGAUACCAGCGGUUUGAUAAUGGGAGCGACAUGCAGAUGGAAUAGAAACAUACUAUCAGUUGAAGCAGUGGAAGCAUUGGUCGCUGUUCAGGCCAUUCAAUUUGCCCAAGAGAUGGGGUUUCACAGAGUCGAGUUCAAGGGCGAUUCACUGGUGGUUAUCUCAAAGUUGAAGAUACAAGGAUUAGACACAUAUUUGACCCAUACUUUAUUUAAUAAUUAAAGCCCA
rnacentral:lncRNA from 1 species